rnacentral:rRNA from 1 species
ACCUGGUUGAUCCUGCCAGUUGGCAUAUGCUCGUCUCUAAGAUUAAGCCAUGCAUGUCUGAGUUCAUACCUAGUUAACGUGAGACUGCGAAAGGCUCAGUAUAUCAGUUAUAGUUUAUUCGAUUGUGAAAUCCACAUGGAUAACCGUGGAAAAUCUAGAGCUAAUACAUGCGAAAAAUAGCUCGGGGUGCUUGCAUCUCGAGUGAUGCAUUUAUUAGAUUAAGCCAGUCAGCGAAGUUUUGGGCAACCAGGGCUUUGUUGCAGUGGUGAGUCUGGAUAACUGUGCCGAUCGUAUGGCCUUGAGCCGGCGACGUUUCGAUUAAAUUUCUGCCCUAUCAACUUGUUGGUAAGGUAGUGGCUUACCAAGGUGAUAACGGGUAACGGGGAAUCAGGGUUCGAUUCCGGAGAGGGAGCCUGAGAAACGGCUACCACAUCCAAGGAUGGCAGCAGGCGCGCAAAUUACCCAAUCCAGACACUGGGAGGUGGUGACGAGAAAUACCAGGUCGUUCCCAAAAGGAUUCGACACUGGAAUGAGUGCAAUUUAAAAAUUUCAAUGAGUAACAACUGGAGGGCAAGUCUGGUGCCAGCAGCCGCGGUAAUUCCAGCUCCAGUAGUGUAUCCAAACGUUGCUGCGGUUAAAACGCUCGUAGUUGGACAAGAGAGUAGCUUGGUGCGGGCGGGGAGUGUUAUUACUUUAUGUGAGCACUUGAGCGAUGGAUGCAGUUCUGCUUCGGUGGGGCUGUCUUUUGUUGCACAAGAAAGCUGCAUUUAUGUAUCGCUUGUCGACCAUGCUGCCAGGCUACUUGUAAUGUUUCGUGAGAAUGACACAUGAUCUUUACUGUAUUGUGUGUUGUGUCUUACGUAGUGUGCCUUGAAUAAAUCAGAGUGCUCAAAGCAAGCUUUUGCUUGAAUGUUAAUAGCAUGGAACGAAUGUUUAGUGGAAGUGAGUUGUGUUGUCUCAUUCGUGGGGCAGCAUGGCUCACAGCACCAACCACGAAGCGGAGCAUUGGUUGCCGACUUCGGGUGAGGAUUAAGAGGGGCAUUUGGGGGCAUUAGUAUUUGGCCGCGAGAGGUGAAAUUCUUGGACCGGCCAAGGACUAACAAGUGCGAAAGCAUUUGCCAAGUAUGUUCCCUUUAAUCAAGAACGAAAGUGAGAGGUUCGAAGACGAUCAGAUACCGUCCUAGUUCUCACAGUAAACGAUGCCAACCCGGGAUCAGUUCGGAUGCACACAAUUUGAUCCAGGUUGGUCCCCCUGGGAAACCUUGAGUUUUUAGGUUCCGGGGGGAGUAUGGUUGCAAGGCUGAAACUUAAAGGAAUUGACGGAAGGGCACCACCAGGGGUGGAGCCUGCGGCUUAAUUUGACUCAACACGGGAAAACUCACCUGGUCCGGACAUCGAUAGGAUUGACAGGCUAAAGUUCUUUCAUGAUACGGUGGAUGGUGGUGCAUGGCCGUUCUUAGUUCGUGGAGCGAUCUGUCAGGUUUAUUCCGGUAACGAACGAGACCACGUUCUUCAUUUGGGGAACUAGAGGACAAGUAAUAACGGUCGUAGUUAAUAGAGUGUGUUGUGCUUCGGUAUGAUGCGCUCUGUUGGCUAUAAUUGGUGGUACUUGCAGCUCUGGUGUGCGUGCAGCAAUGUGCGUCCCUAUGGAGAGACAGCCGGAUUGUAAGCCGGAGGAAGCGUGGCAAUAACAGGUCUGUGAUGCCCUUCGAUGUUCAGGGCCGCACGCGCGCUACAAUGAUAACGACAGCGAGAGUCUGGACUGAAAAGUUCUGGGUAAUCUUGUGAAUCGUUAUCGUGAUGGGGAUUGAGCAUUGUAAUUGUUGCUCAUGAAAUAGGAAUCCCUUGUAUACGUGUCUCACUCAGGACACGUAGAAUGCGUCUCUGCCCUUUGUACACACCGCCCGUCGCUACUACCGAGUGAAUGGUGUCAUGAUGUCUUGGGACUGGAUUUUGUUGGCAGUGAAAGCUGCGGACGAUGCUAGGAGCAAGACAAAAUGGCGCAAUUUCGAGGAAGUAAAAGUCGUAACAAGGUUUCCGUAGGUGAACCUGCGGAAG